CCAAACUUGGUCAUUUAGAGGAAGUAAAAGUCGUAACAAGGUCUCCGUUGGUGAACCAGCGGAGGGAUCAUUACCGAGUUUUCAACUCCCAAACCCAUGUGAACCAUACCUAUCGUUGCUUCGGCGGAUACGCCCCGGCGCCCUCGCGACCGGAACCAGGCGCCCGCCGGGGGAAAAAAACAAAACCAUUGUAUUCUAGUGAAUCUCUGAGUGGCGAAAGCAAAAAAAUACGUUAAAACUUUCAACAACGGAUCUCUUGGCUCUGGCAUCGAUGAAGAACGCAGC
rnacentral:misc_RNA from 1 species